ACGCUCGACACCUACUGGAGGCAGCAGUGGGGAAUAUUGCACAAUGGGGGAAACCCUGAUGCAGCGACGCCGCGUGAAGGAAGAAGUAUCUCGGUAUGUAAACUUCUAUCAGCAGGGAAGAAAAUGACGGUACCUGACUAAGAAGCCCCGGCUAAUUACGUGCUAGCAGCCGCGGUAAUCUGAGGCGGGCGUGGACGAAGGC
rnacentral:rRNA from 1 species